UACGUAGGGUGCAAGCGUUGUCCGGAAUUAUUGGGCGUAAAGAGCUCGUAGGCGGUUUGUCGCGUCUGCUGUGAAAACCCGAGGCUCAACCCCGGGCCUGCAGCCGAUACGGGCAAACUAGAAUUCGGUAGGGGAGACUGGAAUUCCUGGUGUAGCGGUGAAAUGCGCAGAUAUCAGGAGGAACACCGGUGGCGAAGGCGGGUCUCUGGGCCGAUAUUGACGCUGAGGAGCGAAAGCGUGGGGAGCAAACAGG
rnacentral:rRNA from 1 species